rnacentral:rRNA from 1 species
ACUCUAAGCGGUGGAUCACUCGGCUCAUGGGUCGAUGAAGAACGCAGCAAACUGUGCGUCAUCGUGUGAACUGCAGGACACAUGAACAUCGACAUUUUGAACGCAUAUCGCAGUCCAUGCUGUUAUGUACUUUAAUUAAUUUUAUAGUGCUGCUUGGACUACAUAUGGUUGAGGGUUGUAAGACUAUGCUAAUUAAGUUGCUUAUAAAUUUUUAUAAGCAUAUGGUAUAUUAUUGGAUAAAUAUAAUAAUUUUUAUUCAUAAUAUUAAAAAAUAAAUGAAAAACAUUAUCUCACAUUUGAAUGUGAAAAACGAAGAGAAAUAUUUUCUUUUUCAAUCAAAUAAUACUGAGAAAUGUCUAGCAUAAAAAAUUGAAAUAUUUUUCAUCUAGAAUUGUCUCUUAUUAAUGAUUCGGAAAUAGAAAAAUCUUGGUUAUGUUAUUAUUCUUCGUUGGUUCGUUAAAAAUGGAUAAAUAAAAACUUUGCAUACAAGAAUUAAUAAAAAUGUUAUAACGAAUUUAAUUAAAUGUUUUAUCAUUAUAUAUAAAGAAUUUAUGGCAAGAUAAAGUUAUAUACAACCUCAACUCAUAUGGGACUACCCCCUGAAUUUAAGCAUAUUAAUUAGGGGAGGAAAAGAAACUAACAAGGAUUUUCUUAGUAGCGGCGAGCGAAAAGAAAACAGUUCAGCACUAAGUCACUUUGUCUAUAUGGCAAAUGUGAGAUGCAGUGUAUGGAGCGUCAAUAUUCUAGUAUGAGAAAUUAACGAUUUAAGUCCUUCUUAAAUGAGGCCAUUUACCCAUAGAGGGUGCCAGGCCCGUAUAACGUUAAUGAUUACUAGAUGAUGUUUCCAAAGAGUCGUGUUGCUUGAUAGUGCAGCACUAAGUGGGUGGUAAACUCCAUCUAAAACUAAAUAUAACCAUGAGACCGAUAGUAAACAAGUACCGUGAGGGAAAGUUGAAAAGAACUCUGAAUAGAGAGUUAAACAGUACGUGAAACUGCUUAGAGGUUAAGCCCGAUGAACCUGAAUAUCCGUUAUGGAAAAUUCAUCAUUAAAAUUGUAAUAUUUAAAUAAUAUUAUGAGAAUAGUGUGCAUUUUUUCCAUAUAAGGACAUUGUAAUCUAUUAGCAUAUACCAAAUUUAUCAUAAAAUAUAACUUAUAGUUUAUUCCAAUUAAAUUGCUUGCAUUUUAACACAGAAUAAAUGUUAUUAAUUUGAUAAAGUGCUGAUAGAUUUAUAUGAUUACAGUGCGUUAAUUUUUCGGAAUUAUAUAAUGGCAUAAUUAUCAUUGAUUUUUGUGUUUAUUAUAUGCACUUGUAUGAUUAACAAUGCGAAAGAUUCAGGAUACCUUCGGGACCCGUCUUGAAACACGGACCAAGGAGUCUAACAUAUGUGCAAGUUAUUGGGAUAUAAACCUAAUAGCGUAAUUAACUUGACUAAUAAUGGGAUUAGUUUUUUAGCUAUUUAUAGCUAAUUAACACAAUCCCGGGGCGUUCUAUAUAGUUAUGUAUAAUGUAUAUUUAUAUUAUUUAUGCCUCUAACUGGAACGUACCUUGAGCAUAUAUGCUGUGACCCGAAAGAUGGUGAACUAUACUUGAUCAGGUUGAAGUCAGGGGAAACCCUGAUGGAAGACCGAAACAGUUCUGACGUGCAAAUCGAUUGUCAGAAUUGAGUAUAGGGGCGAAAGACCAAUCGAACCAUCUAGUAGCUGGUUCCUUCCGAAGUUUCCCUCAGGAUAGCUGGUGCAUUUUAAUAUUAUAUAAAAUAAUCUUAUCUGGUAAAGCGAAUGAUUAGAGGCCUUAGGGUCGAAACGAUCUUAACCUAUUCUCAAACUUUAAAUGGGUAAGAACCUUAACUUUCUUGAUAUGAAGUUCAAGGUUAUGAUAUAAUGUGCCCAGUGGGCCACUUUUGGUAAGCAGAACUGGCGCUGUGGGAUGAACCAAACGUAAUGUUACGGUGCCCAAAUUAACAACUCAUGCAGAUACCAUGAAAGGCGUUGGUUGCUUAAAACAGCAGGACGGUGAUCAUGGAAGUCGAAAUCCGCUAAGGAGUGUGUAACAACUCACCUGCCGAAGCAACUAGCCCUUAAAAUGGAUGGCGCUUAAGUUGUAUACCUAUACAUUACCGCUAAAGUAGAUGAUUUAUAUUACUUGUGAUAUAAAUUUUGAAACUUUAGUGAGUAGGAAGGUACAAUGGUAUGCGUAGAAGUGUUUGGCGUAAGCCUGCAUGGAGCUGCCAUUGGUACAGAUCUUGGUGGUAGUAGCAAAUAAUCGAAUGAGACCUUGGAGGACUGAAGUGGAGAAGGGUUUCGUGUGAACAGUGGUUGAUCACGAGUUAGUCGGUCCUAAGUUCAAGGCGAAAGCCGAAAAUUUUCAAGUAAAACAAAAAUGCCUAACUAUAUAAACAAAGCGAAUUAUAAUACACUUGAAUAAUUUUGAACGAAAGGGAAUACGGUUCCAAUUCCGUAACCUGUUGAGUAUCCGUUUGUUAUUAAAUAUGGGCCUCGUGCUCAUCCUGGCAACAGGAACGACCAUAAAGAAGCCGUCGAGAGAUAUCGGAAGAGUUUUCUUUUCUGUUUUAUAGCCGUACUACCAUGGAAGUCUUUCGCAGAGAGAUAUGGUAGAUGGGCUAGAAGAGCAUGACAUAUACUGUUGUGUCGAUAUUUUCUCCUCGGACCUUGAAAAUUUAUGGUGGGGACACGCAAACUUCUCAACAGGCCGUACCAAUAUCCGCAGCUGGUCUCCAAGGUGAAGAGUCUCUAGUCGAUAGAAUAAUGUAGGUAAGGGAAGUCGGCAAAUUAGAUCCGUAACUUCGGGAUAAGGAUUGGCUCUGAAGAUUGAGAUA